GAAUCACUCUGGGGGGGGGGCCCCACCGCCCGGCUCCGACCCUCGCUCUCCCCCUGCUUUCUACGGAAUUGGAACAGGAUUGAAGCGGAUUGAUUGUCUUCGGGGCAAGGCACAAAGUACGGAGCAGUCCAUCUCCUUAGUCAGAAGGUGCUCCGCUCGUCUGUGUUUGGCGUGGCUAAUUAAAGCCCUGUUACCACAAGACCACACUUGAGCUGUAAAGAAGUGCGGCUCCAGGCCCCUUCUGUUCUUUGUCGAAGUUGCGUGAGUGUGUUUAUGUGUGUGUGUCAAAUGUGGACUAUGUAAUUGUCUUGAGUUGAAUAAAUAUAUGCUGCAGAG
ensembl:lncRNA